GUAGGGAAUCUUCGGCAAUGGACGAAAGUCUGACCGAGCAACGCCGCGUGAGUGAAGAAGGUUUUCGGAUCGUAAAACUCUGUUGUUAGAGAAGAAUGUUGAUUAGAGUGGAAAAUUAAUCAAGUGACGGUAUCUAACCAGAAAGGGACGGCUAACUACGUGCCAGCAGCCGCGGUAAUACGUAGGUCCCGAGCGUUGUUCGGAUUUAUUGGGCGUAAAGCGAGCGCAGGUGGUUUAAUAAGUCUGAUGUAAAAGGCAGUGGCUCAACCAUUGUGUGCAUUGGAAACUGUUAGACUUGAGUGCAGUAGAGGAGAGUGGAAUUCCAUGUGUAGCGGUGAAAUGCGUAGAUAUAUGGAGGAACACCGGUGGCGAAAGCGGCUCUCUGGACUGUCACUGACACUGAGGCUCGAAAGCGUGGGUAGCAAACAGGAUUAGAUACCCUUGUAGUCC
rnacentral:rRNA from 1 species